rnacentral:lncRNA from 1 species
UUAUUCUAGGAAGAAUAAGGUGUUUCACUAAAUUCAUAAUAUACAGAGAUAAUUACAAGUUCAUACUUUAGAGUUUCAGCAAAAAAAAAUAAAAAAAUACACCAUUUGAAUCCAACAAUAGUUUUUUCUCCUCCUGACAAAUCUAGUUCUUUCUGUGUCAAUUUCUGCGUCCAAGGAUAUCAUAAUUAGAUGAGUUAGAACAAAGCAUCUUCAUUGACUGUAGAAAGUCAGUUCUUGUUGACUCCAGCAAGUUUCAUCCAUUGGAUACUAGUUCUGCAGCCAUGUAAUUUGUGGAUUGUAGAUUUAAAUUGAACUGCAGAACAAAAGUUUUUUUUUUGUCAAAAUAAACUUUUUUAUUCAACCAAGUAAAGAUUUAUACACAGCUAACUCUUUUGGACCCAAGAGUUAGUUCUCUAGGAAAAUUAAAACUACGCUAUAAUCUAUCUAUGCUGGGUAAUAAUUUAACCUAUCUAGUAUACUCUUCCAUUUUGCAAUUGCUCUGUCCUUUAAUAUGUAACUGUAUUACAAUUUCCUUCACUCUCUGUCUAGCCUCUUGCUUCCUUUGUUGAAAUCUUCUUGCAUUUCUCUCUGCCCAGACAUGAUAGACAGUUGUUGCAAAGAGAAAUCAUAGAAUAUGAGUCCUUGGUCGAUUGUUCCUUUUAAUUCUGCAGCCAUGUAAUUUGUGGAUUAUAGAUUUAAAUUAAAACUGCAGAAUAAAGUUGCAUAAAACUUAGGCAUAUACUCAUGAAAUGGGAUUAGUUUAUCUAUAGUUGUAAUGUAAAAAAUGAAGGAUAAAAUGAACCUUGAUUCUUUAGUCAAAUUCUCAUUUCUAGCUCUUUGCUCACAUGCUAGUUCCUAACUUCCUGUUAGUAAGUAAAACACACAUUCAGACAAGUAAACUUGGAUUUGGUUUUUGGAAAAUACUAGACAAACAUAUAAAACCAUUUGAAACCUUUCCAGUUCAAAUGUACCCUUCUCCUCAGUAAUAAGUUUUUUUUCUCCUCAAGUUCAGUGAAUUUCUACUAAAAAUGGCUGUAAAUCUUUUGUUCUUGCAAGUUUGCUUGUAGAGUUGCAACGCAGAAUACUUACUGCUAGUUGUGAAAGCAAUAUUUUCACCUACUUAACCAUGCUCGAUCCAACUACAAGUAUAAAUGAAAAAGAUGAAUGUUUGAACAUCUUAUUAAUACAAUAGAAUUCACAUUUGUCUUUAAUGGUGAAAAAUAAGCUUAGCUACUUAUGGAGAUCACAAAUAUUAAAAGUUCAUUUAAUUCUUGCCAUAUACAUUAGAUGCAGUUCUACUUUUCAUCUGUAGAUCACCUCCCCAGCUCGUCUAAUUUUAAGAACCAUCAAUACUCCAUUUCUUAUUCUAAUAAACUUGAAUUAGAUAUUUCUAAUCAAAAAAUGCCGGAGCAAUAAAUUUAUGUAAUUUAAGUCAAAACUAGAUAAUACAUUGGCCCUAGAAGAACAGAGAAUACAUAUCCAAUAUUCUUCAUUUUUUUACUAAACAUGUUAUUUUAGAAUCUUUAAACUAGUUUAAAUAUCCUCCACAUAAUAUCUUCAUUUUCAAAUAAAACAUUGAUAACGAGUAACAUCACAACUUAGAAGCCUCAUUAGCUCAGAAAUACUUCUAUUGUUCUUCGAAGUUUAACAUUUGAAACGACUCUAAUUUAACCCAUGAUGAAAAACAUUAAAGAUUUUCAACCUACGAAUGUCUAAAAUUGAUUUAUCAUCUUUUAACAAUUGAAAAUACUACUUGUAAAAUACCAUAUAUAAGUCAUUAUUGUCCAAGCGACAAUAUUUCUAUAUGACAUUUUAUCAAACACUUCAUAGGCUUCUUAAGUUAGUUCUAUAGGAGCAAACACCAAAAGUAAUAUUGUCUAAACAAAUGAAUUCAAAUCAAACUAGAUCACUAGCAAUUCAGUAAAAACAAACGAAUAAGAAAUAAACUCAUACUCCUCUUAUUACAAAAUGAGCAUCAAACAAAUGCCAAACUAAAAAAACCAAAACCAAAUUAUAAACAAUUAUUUACUGUACUUAGCUACCUACCUUCUCCGAUGGGGAAAAAAAUCCAUAAUAUACCUGCAGUAUUCUAACACUCGUACAUGAACUAACCCAUGAGCCAAAAUAAAUCUUCUGCUAGCAUUGAUAGCCUCAUAAUCCCAAGUUUUAUUCAUGCCAAAAUGGAAUAAAGAAAAAUAAUCAACAAUUACCAAAUCUUAUAAGAAUGUGAAUAGCAAAUGACAAAAAAAUAUUGAUUGUGAAAGUACCAUAGAGGUAGCCGGCAGUGACGAAGAUGUAGGUGGUAAGGCAAAGAGUUCUGAUCUACAACCGGUUAUUCGAGAUUUGCCAAUGUUAUAAUGUUUGUGUUCAUCCUUUUCUUCCCCUUUGGUUGUAGUCUGUAGAUAUGGGCUAACGAGAU